rnacentral:rRNA from 1 species
CGAAGGGCGAUAUGUAAUGUGAAUUGCAGAUCUACAGUGAAUCAUCGAAUCUUUUGAACGCACCUUGCGCUUAUCGGUGUUCCGAUGAGCAUGCCUGUUUGAGCGUCAUUAAAUUCUCAACCCCUCUCGAUUUGCUUCGAGAGGGAGCUUGGAUCGUGGAGGCUGCCGGAGACCUGUUUUUUCAGGACUCGGGCUCCUCUGAAAUGUAUUGGCUUGCGGUCGACUUUCGACUGUGCAUGACAAGGUCCUUUUGGCGUGAUAAUGAUCGCCGCUCGCCGAAGUGCAUGAACGAAUGGUCUCGUGCCUCUAAUCAGUCGACGUCCUUUUCGAAGGCGUCUUCCUUAUUGUACGUUUGACCUCGGAUCAGGUAGGGAUACCCGCUGAACUUAA